UCUCUCUUCUAUCCAAAAAUCAUGGCCACUAUCUCCGGCCAUUGUCUCAUACUUUUGCUAAUUCUCUUCUUCUUCUCCUUCAACUCUUUGGCAUUUUCAAAGAAAUGCCAUCCAAAUGACAAAAAAGCCCUCCUACAAAUCAAGAAAGACCUCAACAAUCCCUACGAGUUAAUCUCAUGGAAUCCGACCACCGACUGCUGCACCUGGUCCAUGGUGGACUGCGACGAAAAAACCAACCGCAUCACCCGAUUCGACACCUCCGACGCCAAUUUCGGCCUCCCCAUUCCGGCGGCCAUCGGAGACCUCAAGUAUCUCGAAAACCUCGCCUUCCACAAAGUCAACGCCACCGGUCAAAUCCCGGAAUCCAUAACCAAACUCACCAACCUCAAAUUUCUCGAUCUCCGGUGGAACUCUCUCACCGGCCCUGUUCCGUCGUUCCUCAGCAAACUCAAGAAGCUGACGUACAUUGGGCUGUCGUUCAACAGCUUCUCCGGCACGAUUCCGGCGUCGCUCUCCCAGCUCCCGAACCUCGGCGGCCUCCGUUUGGACCGGAACAAACUCACCGGCUCAAUCCCGGAAUCUUUCGCCGAUUUCCGGCAGCAGGAUUUCUACCUCUACCUCUCACACAAUCAGCUGACGGGGAAUAUUCCGGCGAGAUUGGGGCACGCUAACUUCACGUGGAUCGACGUAUCAAGAAACAGGCUUGAAGGUGACAUAUCGUUCUUAUUGGGGAAGAACAAGAGCUUAAACACCGCCGAUUUUUCGAGGAACAUGUUUCAGUUCGAUUUCUCCAAGGUGGAGUUUUCCGGAGAGCUUGAGGAAUCUGGAUCUGAAACACAACAGG